UUUAAGUAUAGCCAUAAUUUUCCGUGCCCAAUUUUAAUCGUCCGUCUUAUUUAAAAAAAUUUAAAAACAUAAGUCAUGAAUAAAGUAUUGUUCAUAUUUUAUCAUCUCAUAACAACAAAAAUACUAAUUAUAAAAAAAAUUCAAAUAAAACGGACGAUCAAAGUUGGACAUGGAAACUCAUGGUUGCACUUAAA
rnacentral:pre_miRNA from 1 species